rnacentral:rRNA from 1 species
UAAGGAACUCGGCAAAUUAACCCUGUAACUUCGGGAAAAAGGGUGCCCGCCGCAAGGCGGGCCGCAGAGAAUUGGUCCAGGGCGACUGUUUAACAAAAACACAGGGCUCUGCUAAAUCGAAAGAUGAUGUAUAGGGCCUGACACCGUGCCCCGGUGCUGGAAGGUUAAGGAAGGGGGUUAGCGCAAGCGAAGCUCUCGACUGAAGCCCCAGUAAACGGCGGCCGUAACGAUAAACGGGUCCCUAAAGGUAGCGAAAAUUCCUUGUCGGGUAAGUUCCGACCUGCACGAAUGGUGUAACGAUCUGGACGCUGUCUCGGCCAUGAGCUCGGUGAAAUUGUAGCAUCGGUGAAGAUGCCGAUUACCCGCAACGGGACGGAAAGACCCCGUGCACCUUCACUACAACUUUGCAUUGAAUUCGGUUAAAUGAUGUGUAGUAUAGCUGGGAGACUAUGAAGCAGUGGCGCUAGCCAUUGUGGAGUCAACGUUGAAAUACCAGCCUUAUUUGAUUGGUUCUAACCCCUUAACGGGUAGACAGUGCAUGGUGGGUAGUUUGACU